AGGAGUGCUCAGAGAGAAUGUAGAAUUGCCUUUAAUCCUAGAGCUCUGGAUGAACAACGGAAACAGCCUCUGCUCUGAAGAAGUUUGAGCCCCCCUGUCCUUGAAGACCUUCGGAUGUCAAGCUUUCUGUGUCCACAUUGUGACUGAUGCAAUGACCCAAGUUCCCCACCAUAUUGCAGUAGAGGAAUGGGAGAGGGUUCCACCCACUGCACAGCAUCCUCUUCCUCCCUACAGAUGGAGAUUUCCUUCGAUAAAGAAAUAACCAAUCAUGAUAUCAGAUUGACUGUGAGAAGUUUGAGAUGUAGACAUGAUUGUCUAGAUGCAUCUUUGAAUUCAGAAAGAUCUAACUAUUUUGCUGUGUGGAGAAGAUCAAAACAUAUUAUUGGUGAUGACUUCACCUCUAGAAAACAGUAUUGGGAGGUGGAUGUGGGUAACUCUUGGGAGUCGGCUCUAGGAGUCUGUAUAAGGAUUCUUAAAUAAGGAAGAAUGACACUGAUAGAAUCUAAGGAUAUGUUUCUUCUGUGUUUCCAGGAGGAGGGUAAUUGUUACAAUCCCUUAUCCACUUUCUCAGUGUUUGUCAGUAAAGAAAUCUCUGGGUCAGUUGGUAGGUUCCGUCUUCUAAAAUUAAAUGAUCUCUUGUGGCCCAUUUAUCUAGAAUACGUGCUGUGGUUACUCGCCUGGUUGGAGUAUGCUGGAGUUACAGAAAUACACAAAUAUGCGAUUUAAACUUAAUGGUCUAGUGUAGGACACAGAGUUUGCCCAUCACAGACAGACUUGGUUAUCUACAAUACCCAUGUCAAUCUGAAACCUUCUCCCACCUCUUCAUCUAGUGUAUCCUACAUAUAAAUUCACCCCCAGAGGAAAAACCAUCUGUUUUCCAGGGAAAUCUCCAUUGACCUCAGGACCAAGCUAGGCCUAUCAUUACAUGAACUCCAAAUAUGUGGUCAUUUCUUUUACAAUAAUGUGAAUUGCAAGAGAUAAAAUGUUCACUGACAUAUCACCAGCAGAUAACAGAGUGUCUAGGAGAGAAUGUGCCCUUAACAAAUAAUUGAUGCAUGAAUCGAUUAAUAAAAGGGUGAAAUGAUUGUCUUAUUUGCA
rnacentral:lncRNA from 1 species